rnacentral:rRNA from 1 species
GACGAACGCUGGCGGCGUGCCUAAUACAUGCAAGUAGAACGCACAGUUUAUACCGUAGCUUGCUACACCAUAGACUGUGAGUUGCGAACGGGUGAGUAACGCGUAGGUAACCUGCCUGGUAGCGGGGGAUAACUAUUGGAAACGAUAGCUAAUACCGCAUAAUAUUAAUUAUUGCAUGAUAAUUAAUUGAAAGGUGCAAUUGCACCACUACCAGAUGGACCUGCGUUGUAUUAGCUAGUAGGUGAGGUAACGGCUCACCUAGGCGACGAUACAUAGCCGACCUGAGAGGGUGAUCGGCCACACUGGGACUGAGACACGGCCCAGACUCCUACGGGAGGCAGCAGUAGGGAAUCUUCGGCAAUGGACGAAAGUCUGACCGAGCAACGCCGCGUGAGUGAAGAAGGUUUUCGGAUCGUAAAGCUCUGUUGUAAGAGAAGAACGGGUGUGAGAGUGGAAAGUCCACACUGUGACGGUAUCUUACCAGAAAGGGACGGCUAACUACGUG